rnacentral:rRNA from 1 species
UACGUAGGGGGGCAAGCGUUGUCCGGAUUUAUUGGGGCGUAAAGCGCACGCAGGCGGUCGAGUCAGUUUGGAGUGACAGGUGGUGGCUUAACUACCACAGGCCUCCAAAGACGGCUUGACUUGAGGGCUUGAGAGGGACGCGGAAUUCCAGGUGGAGCGGUGAAAUGCGUAGAGAUCUGGAAGAACACCAAAGGCGAAGGCAGCGUCCUGGCAAGUUCCUAACGCUCAUGUG